rnacentral:hammerhead_ribozyme from 1 species
CACUGAUCGAAAGCUGUUGCGCUCUCCUGACGAGUCCAAGGCAGGACGAAAUCAUCA